GCCGAUGUGGUGAAAUUGGUAGACACGCUAGCUUGAGGGGCUAGUAGCGUAAAGCUGUAGCAGUUCGAGUCUGCUCAUCGGCACCA
rnacentral:tRNA from 1 species